rnacentral:rRNA from 1 species
CAGCAGCCGCGGUAAUACGUAGGUGGCAAGCGUUGUCCGGGAUUAUUGGGCGUAAAGGGCUCGCAGGCGGUUUCUUAAGUCUGAUGUGAAAGCCCCCGGCUCAACCGGGGAGGGUCAUUGGAAACUGGGGAACUUGAGUGCAGAAGAGGAGAGUGGAAUUCCACGUGUAGCGGUGAAAUGCGUAGAGAUGUGGAGGAACACCAGUGGCGAAGGCGACUCUCUGGUCUGUAACUGACGCCGAGGAGCGAAAGCGUGGGGAGCGAACAGGAUUAGAUACCCCCGUAGUCCCUGUCUCUUAUAC